CUCCUGUCAAAACCCAGAUCUUAAUUCCAGCUUGGGCGAGCUUGUCUAUGCAUUCAGGAACCCCAUCUUGCAGUUUGUCCUCAACUGCAGUUGCACCAAGAAGAUAUAGAUUCCUUUCCAUCUUCUCUGCCAAUUCAUCAAUCAAUGUUUCCCGGUCUGCACUUACUGAAUUCUUAGCCUCAGCGAAUUUCUUACUGAAAUCUUUGUAUUCUUCUUCAUCAAGUUCACGAUAGGCAAGCAACAGAGUCCUCAAGCCUGCAUCUGCAUACUCAUUCACAUGAUCCCUCGUCUUCUCUUCAAACUCCUUACCAUUUAGGGCAAGCCUUUCAAACAUGACACUGUCGGCACCUUUACAAAGUAGUAACAGCUUUCCGUCUUCAGUUCUUACUAUCACAGACAUCCGCUUUCUUGCACUGUUAAACUCCAAAACAUUCAAAAGUGUAUAUGUCCUUUCAACUCUCCUCCCAGAAGCCAGAUCCAACUCACGCACUGAGAUGCUUGUUUGAGUCCUUCUGCAGAAUUCAAAACCAAGUUCUCUUGCUGCAAUCACAAAUGCUGCUUCAUCUGGUGAUUCAGCUUCAUAUGAAAUCUUCCCAGUAUCUUCAUCUUCUUCAGCUAUAGCAGUAUGACAGACUGCCAACAAACGGAAAAAAUUUUGUAUAACAGAAGCAUGUUUGAAGCAUGAGGCUCAUGAAUCCAGUUACCAUUCAUGAUCCUUUCAUCUUCAAAAUUAAACCCCUUAACAUGUGGUUUUUUAUUGUUAGAAUCCUUGUUAUGAUCCCAUCCAUUUAUUUUUUCUUGAACCACUGGAUCACCUUUUUUUCUAUCCAUAGCCAUCUCAACUUCUGUGACACCACGGCCAUAAGCAGUCCCAGCCACAGUGCACUUGAUGAACUCCAUGGAAUUGCAGGUCAAUGUACCAGUCUUGUCAGAAAGUAUUGUUUCCACUUGCCCAAGCUCCUCGGUCAAAUUUGAAGUACGCGCAUGUGCUGGUUUGUC
rnacentral:misc_RNA from 1 species